rnacentral:sRNA from 1 species
UCUACUGCACUCAUUUAAGGGACCUCCCAC